AAAACAAAGCACUUCUGUUUUUAAUGACAUUUUAUGUGUUUCUGUUCUAUUUUUAAUUUACAGUUUAAUGAGUCUUUGGAGCUGGUUGUGUUGCUUUGGGGUUGGGGACAAUGAGGACAGCAGGAAGAAGCAUGUUACCGAGUCACUCCGUCGAUUAUUUUCUCUUUUUGCGGGGAUCACUUUUUGGUUACGGGUGACGGUCACCGUUACGUCGCCCCAUUGCCCCCUGACAGCACCACUAUGCUCCCAUUUCCUCUCGUUUUCGUUUAGGAAAUUGACCUUGGCUGGUUCUCCGUCUGAUGUUAUAUUUUAUACACUUAGGGGGCGGUGACGUCAGGCGGGUUUCGGGUUCGGGUUCGGGUUUCGGGGUCGGCGACGGGCGCAGCCGAGCGCAAAGGCGGACUGACAGUCGGGCGGGUUUAUUCUCCCCGGCGCGGACGCCUGUGCGCACUUCGGGAGCGGCUUCCGAGGGGAUCUGCAGAGCUCUGAUGCCUGGCAGCUGGGUAGUCGACUCACGCACGCCGCUGUCCUCCAGUUCACCCAAGACUGUCAUCAUGACUCUGUGUGAAGCUGCUUUCGUCUGUCCCAGAUGACUCUGUGUGAAGCUGCUUUCGUCUGUCCCAGAUGACUCUGUGUGAAGCUGCUUUUGUUGCUUUUUUUCAUCUCAAGAUGGCUUCUGUUAACAGGGAAUACCGUCAGCGGGAGCUGAUAUGCCAUCUCCGGGGAGGGGGGGGAUGCGUGUUCCCCCUUCCUGUACGCCGCCAUGCCUGUCCCCUGGUCUAUGUGACAGCGUGUGUCCCAUGUCCCUGGGUCCCUGUUAUGUGAAUUAUUAUUGAACUUUUUCUUUAAAUUUUUUUGCGCUUAAUUCCUUGUGCUCUUAUUAAUGCCCUUUGUUACUGCUCCAGUGCUCCAGUCAUCGUUUAUCACUUCUGCUGCUGGGUACUAGCAUCACAGAAGCAGAAUAUUUGUGCCCCCCCCUCCCCCGUCCUUUUGCCAAGCAAUGGCUGGGGCCUCAGGGUCACCAUCGCCUCGGCAGCUUCGGCAAUGUUUGGUCUCUCCUCUGGGGGGGGGCGACACAAAACUUGCGUUCAGCUGUGCUUCGUCUAGACAAAGAUUCAGUAAUGAAACUAGGGGCUCCAUAGCACAGGAGCAUAAGCAGUUCUGUGGCUUUCUGGGGCCGUAAGAUUGCAGAAGAGAGGGAAUUAAUGAUGCUUUUGGAGAAAGCGAUGUUUGGAUGUUCCCGCUAAAGGCCAUUCUGCUCGUAGUACCCUGGCCAACUGUUAGCCUGACAGAAUCUUAAACAGCUUCUGGAUCUGCUGGCGGGAGUCGUUUUGCUUGCUUGUUUGUUCGGCUUUGUAAAUUCAUUCGUGUUUGUUUGCUAAAAAUAAAAAAGGAUGAAUAAUCUGGCAGCAGCUAUUCAAAGUGCUCUGGAAAAAAUCUGCAAUCACUCAUGAAUUUUUCCAGUUAUAGAUGCACUCUCUAACCUUCGUGAAAUAUGAGUAAUUAUUUUGGUUUGCUUGCUCUCUUUAUGACAGAAUGUCACGCCGGAUUGCAAUUGGCAUCUCUGUUGUGAGCCCUGGAAAGAGAAUAAGAUCUUCAUAUGCUGCUGCCUUUAGUUGUGCCAUGGUCCCGUUCCUUGUUUUGAUAGGACAGAGGUGUGUCUGCCCCCUACUUACCAACAAAAAUACCAGGUCAAUGACUAAUCCCUGUGACAGCACCAGCAGAUAUCGCCCUUAUCUGAUCCUAAAAACUACGUUUGAUUUGUUUUUGUCUUUUAUCUUUCUCCUUGGCCUCCUUGGACUGGAGACGACCUUGACUGCUGUCUGAAAUGCAGACUUGGUUGUACACCAUCCAUCUAAGCUCUUAUUGCGGACGGGGUCUGGAGCCUGUCCCAGGCAGUGCAGGGUACUAGGUUGGGCUAAACCCUAGAUGAGAUGCCAGUGAGAGGAACCCGGACUCCAUGCAAGAAGCUUUGGAAUGGAGGAACUCGGCCUGGAGACUAGGCAGCUUUCCUGCUUACGUGCCUUGUUCCAGUUUAACAGUACUUACAGUCUUGAUGGCAAUUAACUGGUUCUUUUCUAGGCUUUAUUUUAUUUUCAUUGCCAUCUCUUUGUACUUUGUACUGUCCUUACCCUCUUCAUACAGCAGAGUGUUGCGCUGCCUAGGUCUCCUUGACCCCUCUGCUGUUACCAAGAGGAGAAAAUUGUCUCACCAGUUUUUGAGGAGAGAAGCCUGUAACCAAGACCCUAGUUCAGGACUCGGUGCAGGAGCUUCAAACUCCAGAUUAUAAUGCACAGCAAUCUAAUAUAGUUAAUCAUUUGUUUAUUAAUCCCUAAGUUUUUAUAGGAUUGAAUUGAAAAUGCUUAAAAGGAUUUACAGUAUUCAUGUAUGUUAAAUCCCCUCCAUUUGUUUUAUAUUUAAUGUCCAUGUAGGUGUGGACUGGCCAUUGAAGUCUUUUGCCGGCCGGUCUCUUUCCAAAUCCCCGGCACAAUAUAGCUCCGCAUGAAGGCCGGUUCGCUGUGUUCCCGUCAUCUUGCUCGAUGUCAUGCAUCUUCACACUGAACACCGGCGCAAAGAAGACCCCUUUCAGUAGGGCUCUGGUUGUCUCAACCGCCAAGUGGGCUUCCUACCCUGAAAACCUGCUAAAGGCAUCACCAGACAGCAUCCACAUAGCUGGCCCUCACAGCUGCGGCGUCUGCAGUCUGGACGUCUGCUGAGCGCAGUUUGAUCAGCCUUGAUACUGGAAUUCAUAUAGGAGUGUUGUUGAGUUCCCAUGCACUGCCUGGUUUUCCAUUUAUUCAGCCAUAGCUGUUUUCAUUCUAGGAGCACUAAGACGUAGUCCUGAGCCGGGGAGAGGAGUUGGCAUCACUGUUCUUUUGGACCCCAAUAGAAAGUGAUUUCUUUGACAUGAUGAGGAGGACACUGGUAGAGCAGAAGAGGUGGUGGCAGGUUAGGCUCAUGUCAUCCAGCAGGGGUCGCUCU